GACGAAGGAUGCAAGCGUUAUCCGGAUUCAUUGGGUUUAAAGGGAGCGUAGGCGGCCCUGUAAGUCAGUGGUGAAAUCUCGCAGCUUAACUGCGAAAUUGCCAUUGAUACUGCAGGGCUUGAGUACAGUUGCUGUGGGCGGAGUAUGACAUGUAGUGGUGAAAUACAUAGAGAUGUCAUAGAACACCGAUUGCGAAGGCAGCUCACAAAACUGUAACUGACGCUGAGGCUCGAAGUGCGGGGAUCAAACAGGG
rnacentral:rRNA from 1 species